CGAAAGGCCUUUUUUUUUAAUUAAAACUGAUGUUCAUUUGAAGUGUUCCUCUGACGACCCAGAGCAGCGACAUGAAUAAGUUAGUACUCUCUGCUUUGCUAAGCAACACAGACUGCAGAAAGAUAUAUUUGCAUGGCGUGCGAAGCCUCCAGAACCUAUCAAAGGGUAAGAGCAGGAGUACAGUGCAGAGGUGUGGGUGGCUGUUCGCUGUUCAUCCUUCCGUGAGACUAUUGACGAAGGCUUAUCAGAUAGAAAACAAGACCGUGUUUACCAAUAGUCUUGCUUGCCAAGCUCAUGACAAGACAGAUUUCGGAAGACACUAGUUUAGCAACUAUACCAGCCUCCUUGUUUUUUUUUUUUUGGGGGGGGCUGUCUGAGGUAAGUGGAGUGCAGAGUGAUCUGACGUGUCAGAGAAAUUGUCUUAUCAGAUGAAACUGAAGAAUUGCCUCCUUGUGGUCUGAGAUUGUCUGAGACUGCCCGAGGAUGUGCAGAGUCAUCUGACAUGUCAGAGAAGUUAUCUUAUCAGAUGAAACUGAAGAAUGGCAUCGUUGUGGUCUGAGAUUGUCUGAGACUGCCCGAGGAUGUGCAUUGAAUUGGCAGGGAACGCAUGACAGACACGGUUGGGAAAUGCUGGUAAAAUAAAACCAACAGCAUUUUCAGAAACAUCAAGAUCACCAGUGUGCUGGAUUUAUCCAUUAUUUUCUGGGAUUGGGAAGACAUGGCUGCAGAGAUGGAGGCAGAGAGGUUGCAUGGUCCUCGAAUGCAUCGUCUGUGUCUGUGGAGGAAGAACAUACACGGUCUCUCCUGCAGGCUGCUGUGCUGCUGCUGCUCCUGUGUGGGAGGAGAGGACAAAGAACUAAUACCAGGCCAGAGCCAGAGAGGGCAGAGCGGGGAGAGGGACACACAGCUAGAGUGGACUUGUCUUGGGGACGACCAGGGGAUCUCAGGGGAGGGAGAGGCCAGUGCUAUCCACAUCACGGUGGAGGAUCUUGGGCUGGCCAACCCUAGCUUCACCCUGACCAAAGAGGAGGUUGCACCAGUCCAGAUGUUCAGUACUUUUAGUCCAUCUUCCAACUCUGUGUCGGCCGUCCGCAGGGCACUGAAGAAGAAAAGAAUGCUGAAGCCUCUGUCCUCCCUUCCUCUCCAGCUGGGAGGAGACCAGCCGGGAGGAGACCAGCCGGGUGGAAAGCAGACAAAGAGGAGAAGCCCAGCCAGCGAGGAGGAGCCUGGGGCAAACCAGAGGAGAAACAUAACAGGCGAAGGGGAGCAGGAUGAGGCAAUGGAGGAGCAGGAGAAGGAGGUGGAGGUAGCGGAGGAGGAGGACUCAAUUCUGUUUGACACACCUGGAGGCUCAGGUACAGGUAGCCUCCUCACCCCACCUGUCAUCAACCUGAUCCCUCCCACUCCCUCUGACGUCCUCGAUGAAGACCAGUUCUUUGAUGACAUCAUCUCGGACGAGGAGAGCGUGGCGCACACGUCUGGGACUGGUAGUGACGGGAGUAGCAACACCGCCGGACACCGGGAAGAAGAGGAAGAGGAGGAGAGGAUGGAGGAUUUGGACCAGGAGCCUGAAGAGGAGGGGAACAAGAGAGACGCGGAAACCCAGGAGAGGCAAGUGGUGGAUGGGAGUAAAGGGUAUCUGGGAGAAUCAGACCAGGAGGUGCUCCUUCAUGCUCCAGUCCCCGAGAGGGAGGGGGAGGUCAGGGUAAAGGCUGCUGAGGAAAAGGAGAGACCCAAGCCCAGCUUCCUCCGUAGUGCCUACCAGGUGGAUCCUCUACCUGAGUACCCCAGGAAGAGGAGCUUCAACUCGAGCGUCAAUCUGCCGUUGUUCACCGAGCACAACCUGGUCAUACUUCAGGUUAUCCAUCUGAAACUUUGCACAUCCACUGCUGCCAUCUUGUGGACACUAUCAGAAUUACAACCAGAGUGAUG
rnacentral:lncRNA from 1 species